rnacentral:lncRNA from 1 species
AAGGAGGGAGGAAGGAAAGAAGAUAGGAAGGGAAGGAGAGAGGGAGGAAAGGAGAGAGGGAGAAAGGAAGGAAAGAAAGAGAGAGGGAAGAAAAGGAAGAAGGGAGGAAGGAAGGAAAGAGGAAAGCUUAUCAGGUUUCAUUUUUAUAAAUACAGUAAACAAAAUCUAAUAAAGAAUUAUAUGGGAAUAUUUUUUCUCCUAUCAGAGAUGAGCUUAAUUAAAAAAUUAGGACAGGUUUUUUUAAUUGUUUAUUUAAUAUUUUUACCCUGUUACAUUCAAAACAAUUUUUACUUUUUUUUUUUUUUUUUUAAGAUUUUUGAGUUCUAGAUUCUCUCCCUUAUCCCUUAGAUCUCCUUUAUAAUUGUGGGUGGCCACAAUUAAGAAACCACAUGUGAAAUUAUGCAAAAUAUUUCCAUAAAAAUCAAGCUGUGAAAGAAAACAUAGAUCUCCCAUCUUAAUGAAAAUAAAAACUCUCAAGAAAAAUUAAGCUAAAAAUAAAGAGAGUAAUAGAGAAUGCUUCGAUCUGUAUUCAGACUCAAUCAGUUCCUUCUCUGGGUAUGGAGAUUUUUCAUCCUAAGUCCUUCAGAGUAGAUAUAGAUGAUUGUACUACUAAGAAUAAUAAAGUCAUUUACAGCUGGUCAUAGGACAGAUUUUUCAUCAAAUCUCUGAGGGAAUUCUUUUGGGGAAAAAACAAAUGAAAUAUAGGAGUUUUUGCAUCCACUGCAGGCAAAAAAGGAAAGAGGCAGCCAUCUCUCGCAUAGCAUCAAACCUAGCCGGAGCUGAAUUACCUCAUCUGUGGGGGGAGGGGAUUGCACAAAUGAUUUCAGAGGGUCACUCCAGCCCUAAUUCAACAUCCCUGUGAAUUGUCUCUUUAAAGGAAUCAGUCAGCAUGAACAACAUGUCUCUAGACAGUUGUAAAAGAGGUGGAUCGUUUUCUCUGGCAAACAGCUGACCCAUAAUUCUACUGAAUCUUUCCAGCUGGAAGGCACCUCCCAGGUGACCUAGUCCUGCCCCAACUCACUAGAGGAAAGGGCAGGAUGCUACGGUGACAGCAGCACCGAUUUCAUAAUCAGGGCUUUUGGCUUCCUCCUGUCUGGGAGAAAAAUCACUUCAU